CCAUUUCCAACCAUUAAUAUCGAUUUUAUCGUGACAGUGACAAUUACAUGUGAAUGUGUCUGUGAUUGUAAAUUUGUUUUGGUUUUCUCAACAUUCAUCAAUUACUGGUUUUCAAUACGGUUCGCUUGUUGCAAAAACAUACCAGUUUAUCUCGCCGUUGAAAUGGACGAGGCUAAAUUAGAGUCUCAGGUCCACAGGUAUUUAAAUCUCGGUUUCCUGGUUCGAGAAAUCGCAGAUGAAGUUAAUAUGCCCUACAAGAGGCUUUGGAAAUUUAUGGCAAGAAAGCAUAUAAGUGUCAGAAAUAUGUAUAGCACAAUGUCUUCGGAAGCUCUUCAACUACUCGUGUACCAGAUCUGCACUAAGAACGAGGCUUGGAGUUAAAAUGGUUGUGAACUCUCAUUCACCUUACUAAUGAUGAUUGUCCAGCUGAAGAGUAGGUUGUUCCGUUGGUGGAAAUCAACACCAACAAAUCUGUUACUGACUUCUUAAAAGUAACGAAGAUUAACACGUUAUGAUUUCCUGAUCGUCUUAUGCAAAUUAACACGGAAGAUGUCCUGCAACUAUAUUCCCAAUUUUUUUUACUCACAUUUCCAUCAUUUUGUAAUAAUAAGCAACAUUUGCUUAAAAUUGUUUAUCUGCUCCAAGGUUGCUUAUAAACGAUAGGGGUAGGAGAGUUUGUUAAAAAUAAAACAAUUUCACGUUA